ACAGUUUAGUCUGGGAGCAGAAAUAACCAACAUGCCCAUUAGACACAGGAUGGAAUAAUGCUUCUAUUGGUUGGGUCCCUUCGAGAGAGAACCAUUCUCUGCUUUCAAUAGGACAGAAGAGCUCCUUGGCACUGGAUGCCUCCGGGUCUGGUUGAGAGAGGAAUGGUUAGGAGACUGUUCUGAGGAUACGCAGACAUCAUCCAAAGCUUCCUACAUUCAGAUGAGGACAGAGGUUGGGCCAGAGCAUGGCAUGCUUGUUACCUAAGGACAGUUCUGACCAUGUGAGCAAAUCACAGAAGCUGGAAGCAAAGGAUGUGAAGAUGGGAGAGCCGCAUAAUGGAAGGAUCCCAGAUUUCAGAGCUGUCACUUGGAGGAGGGGCACCCAGUGAAGGUAUCUAUCUAAUCCACACCAUAUCUUCAUGAAGUGACCAUAUGGAUUUGAUCCCUAUCCUUCAGAGGUGCUCAGCCCAAGGGAACACUGGUAGUAGAUUAAGCACUGACCAGAGCCAGCCUUAACGAUGGACUGAUGGCAAUCUAAAACAUAAGCAGAGGAGUAUACAGGAUAGGAACUUGAUGGUCUGGGGGCAAUGGACAGCCUGACUCAGGUGAAAAAGAUUGAUCAUCAGAUGUUUCUUAUGAAUCAACCUGAUAUUUAAAUCCAUGAAGGAGAGAGAUGACAAAACCAGGUAGAAUAGAUAGAGAAGAGGUCCAAGGUCUGAGCCCUACAUUACUCAGAGUGUUAGAGAUUAGGAAGAAAAGGAAGACCUGGCAAACGAAUGUCCUGGGAUGUAGAAAGAAAACCAGAAGUUUGUAGAAAGAAAACCAGAAUAAAGAAAGGGCUUCCAGAAGGACAAAGUGUAGUGUGUCAAAUCUCCUGAGCAAUCAGAGGAGAGCACCAAGGGGCUCACAGGACAUUGGUAUCCGGAUCACCCAGUGACACUUCCUGAUCAUGAGAAACUGUCAGACCAACAGGGGCACUUUCUGUAACCAGCGGUUCUUCAUUGCCCAAAUGCAACCUUGAUGGUUUGAUUUUGGAGGAUGGCAAUUCAUUAAUAGCACUCUGCAGUGAUAAAUACGAAAACCAAUAAAACUCCCCACCCAAGGCAACCUCUCCCAGCUCCUCACUUUGAGUGAAGUGAGUAACCUCCAUUUCUGCCAACUCCUGUCUUGUCUGAAGCCACAUUUCCCCAGCAAUGUCACAUAUGCAUUUUUUGAUCCUGGUCAUUUCUCCACUUGGGAGAUGAAUCAUAAAGAAAAUGAGAUCUGUGUGCCCUGGUGACUAUGGAUGCAAGAGUCUGCUGCCCUGGAGGGAACAGCUGGAAAAGAAGUAGAUGGUGAAGGCGGGUUGGGGGGAAACAGUGGAAAAGGUACCUGUGCAGGGGAUCAAGGUGACAGAGUGAUCAGUUAUGUUGUUUGGACAUGCGAGAACAGGGGGUUAUAAAAAUGGAUACAGGAGGAGCAAAAGAACGUAAGGACUAAAACAUGAAAAAAACGCAGAUUUACAGGCAAAUAUGUGAUGUUUCCACAUUUUCUGCCCCCAGUUAGCAGGGGCAGCACAAAGAGCGUUACUGUGGAGCUGAGCUUUGGGUAAAAGAUUAACAACCAGGCCUUUCUCUCCAGUGUCUGCUUCCUUCUGGGCUUGCCCUGGGGGAAAAGGAGGGCUGGCAUGGAUGUGCCUGCAGCCUUCACCCUGAACAUUCUUCCACGCCUCUCUGUUCAUUCAUUGCUUAGUCAUUCCUCAGGCAUGGAUUGAGCCCACUGUGUAUCCAGCAUCGACCUGGCAUAGGAUGGACAUAGAGAUGGGAAAGGCACAGGGAGCAGGUGACAGAGACAAAUGAAGGUCAUGAGAAUAGCAGAGUAGGACAGAAAAUGAAGGCAGGGGAUGGGGUUCUAGAGAAAGCAAGAGCAGGACUGACCCGUGUCUGCCUCACCUGUUACUGUUGUAGCCUCUUCUCCUUGGAGUAUCCCUCCUGCUCUUGCAUCACCUUAGGAACUUGGAUCAGAGAGGAAAGUUACAGCAUGGAUAUGUUGUAGUAGGAGGGGACAGACACGUUUGGAAACAGAAAUGCUUGGGGAGUGGGUGUUUUUGGGGGAUGAGACUUUCCGGGUCUCUCAAUUCACACUAUGUAGGUAGUUCACUGCACAGCUUAAAUAAGAGACAACCCUCCGGAGUGGUUGGUUCUCAUCCAUAAAAUGUGUUUUGGGCCUCAGAUUUCCAAAGGAAGGGCUGAAGCGUGACUCACCUGACGUCAAGUACUGAUGGUCACCUGCCCCUGCCCUAUCAGGUGUGGAAAUGCUGGGGUUGCUCUCUCAGAACCUACUCCCUGAGAUGUCAAAAUAUACCCAGGAGUAUUUCUGGACCUUCUCCAAUCCAAAAUUGUUUGGUUUUUGUGUGUGUGUGCCUACUUGGCCUCACUAAAAGAUGGAGGCGGCCUGGGUGAAAUGCAGAUUUCUAGAGGCUCUCUGAUAAAGCUCAGGCCACCAGCCCCAGGCCAGCCUGUGGGUAGUCCUGGCUGACAGUCACUUCAUACCUCAUCUGGGCUUUUUGCCAAAUUCAAAGUGUGUGUAUGUGUGGAGUGCGGGGUUCCCACCACUGGCAGUCUGUAAGUCAUUCACUUAGCUCAAUUUGUCUUACUUUCUUCUGAAAUUUCUUCCUUCUUGUUUUCUUUUCCCCAGGAGAAGCACUCCUAGGGCAGCCUCCCAGCAAGCUUUCCCUAAUAAGAAGGCAGAGCUCCUCUUCACCCAGACUUCAGACCUAUAGAGACAGCCUGGGGUCCCAGGAUGCACUUGCACUCAGAGAUGUCCCCAGAGUCCUAGGGGAAUGGAGGAUAACUAGGAGGAAGCUGUUCAUGGCUGCGGAUGGGGUCUAUACAUUCUUGUCUAUCUCAGUGCUGUCUGCUAUUGAAUUUUUGUGCAGAUCACAUUAAUUUAAAGCCAGUUCUCAAGAAGCUCCCCCCGGCAUGUCUACUAGUUUCUCCCCUUUCCUGCCAUUAAUCAGUGUCUGCUAAUUAAACAACAAACUCCUGUUUGUCCAAACAGCUGCCAACACCCCCACCCCAAGGCAGUUAAAUGAGGAUAAAUGAGUCAGUCUUAUUAAAAAAUGACUUAAAUUUAUCAAAUUCUAUUUAUGUUUCUUUUACAUCCCAAUUUUCUAUAGAUUUAGUGACUCCAAAUGAUAAGGUCUCAAGCUUAUAAUAAUUUAUCCCUUGAGUAACACAAGGCUUGGUGGUAUUUCGGUAAUAUUCAUGACAGCAGCAGUCGUGCUAACAAGGACUGAUGUCACCAGAGCACGUUCUAUGUGCCAAGCACGGUGCACAACACUUUACAUGCAUUAUCUCAUUUAAUUUUCA